GAUGAACGCUGGCGGCGUGCCUAAUACAUGCAAGUCGAGCGGACGGACGAGGAGCUUGCUUCUCUGAUGUUAGCGGCGGACGGGUGAGUCACACGUGGAUAACCUCCCUAUAAGACUGGGAUAACUUCGGGACACCGGAGAUAAUCCCGGAUGAUCUUUUGCACCGCAUGGUUCAAAAGUGAAUGACGGUCUUGCUGUCUCUUAUCGAUGCAUCCGCGCUGCAUUAGCUGGUUGGUAAGGUAACGGCUUACCAAGGCAACGAUGCAUGGCCGAACUAAGAGGGUGAUCGGCCGCAUGGGAACUGAGCCGCGGACCAGACUCCUGAGGGAGGCAGCAGUAGGGAAUCGGCCGCAAUGGGCGAAAGCAUGACGGAGCAACGCCGCGUGAGUGAUGAAAGUCUUCGGUGCGUGAAACUCUGUUAUUAGGGAAGAACAGAUGUGUAAGUAACUGUGCACAUCUUGACGGUACCUAAUCAGAAAGCCACGGCUAACUACGUG
rnacentral:rRNA from 1 species